rnacentral:lncRNA from 1 species
CAACUAAAAUAUUCAUUUACACAAAAGUCACCGUCACUCUGACUUCUAACUUUUUGACUUCACAUCACCAACUUCUUGGUCUAAUUUCACUACCAAUAGGUCAUGACAACAACACUUUAACGCAUACUACUAUUCGGGUGGAAAUACAGUUCCAACAUUCUACUACAUAUCAUCACCCCUUAAGCAAGACAUUUGUAACAUAAAUUUGAAGGGGACUAAAUGCA